GGGUGGGUGCGGGGGCGGGGGGCGUGGCCGGCGGCGACGCGCGCGCGCCCGAGACUUGAAGUAACGAAGCCAUUUUUUUCUAAAUGUUUAAUACAUUCCGGCUCCUAAAUCUACUUGUAGAUCGUGCAACGUACUUACAAUUUGUACAACUUGGCAAAAUAAUUGAAAUGUUAUUUAAAAUAACGCCAAAAUUAAACGUAUUUAACUAUAUUUUGCAUUUUUUAUUGUAUGUAAAAUACUCAGAUUAUAUGUUGCUCAGACUUUUGUAUAUUUGCUAUAAUUUCUAUCACAUGCAUUUUUCGUCCCUUAAUUUUAAGGUAUAUUGUAUUGUAGUGAUGUGAAAUAUUUCUGAUAGGUCUUUAAUUUUGUGUCAACUGCCACGAUACUUUCGUAAAAUAUCUCUUAUAAAUUAUAACAAUUUUCGGCUGCAAAUAGCAAACAUUAAAUAGGAGAUAUGAACAGAAACGAUUGUGUAAAAAAAGGUUAUAAAAUUUCUGAAAAAAAAAUUGUUAUACCUAAUUUUUUUUUCUUAUCACAUCGAUUAACAUUAGAGUGAACGGGGAGCAAAAGAUAAUAUGAACAUACACUUCGUUUCUAUGUUGUAAAAUUCCAACAUUGGUGUAUUAUCCUUAUCGUAUACCAAUAGUAUACAUCGCCGCUAUACUUACUCAACCUCGUAUCUGCAACACUCAUUUGAUGACACACCCGUAUUCCGAAUGAAAGAAAAGCGACAUUUCCAUCAAAUGAUUGUUGCAGAUAUGAGGUUGAGUAAGUAUAGCAUACAGGUAUAUAUUUCAAAGGGGUGCGAAACCAUUUUUGUACAGUCAGCAGCAGAAGUUUCUAAGCGGGCGAGGUGUUCAAAAUUACCUUGACACGCUCUUAUUCUCUUAACAAUAAAGUCGCGUCGCGUCAUGUAACUUCUGCUGCUGACUGUAUGUUUGAAAAGACAUUUACAUUUUAGCUAAGGCAUAGUCAAAUAAAAGGGGUAUAAGUUAUAAUCAGGGAUCGAAUACCGGUAUAUAUAUAUUUUUUUCAUUUUUUUUUUUUCAUUUUUUUUCAAAGGCACAUAUACAUAAUUAAUUUCAAAAUUACUCGCCAAACUGCGUAUGCAGUUUGUUGGCGAGAAAGCGCUCUUUUUUACAAUUUUAUGCACCUACUUAAGUUGCUAUCUUACUAUGCUUACCCUAAGUUUGACAUUAAAAUUAGUCUUAGAAAAAAUAUACCUAUAUAAUAAAGUAAUAAAGCAUCCUUUUACAAAUAAAUGUUUCUACCUAAAGGAUACACUAUGCUAAAAUAACAAACAACAACAAAUAUAAUUUAAAUAAUUUAAUAAUAAUUUCAUUUAGGUUAUCUGAUAACUCAUUGUCCUUACCUAAAUAGCAUUCUACAAUAUCAAAGAAAUAUUUCAAAUGCUACGUGAUAUAUUGAUUUUAAGUUAUACCGGUAACGAUCCCUGGUUAUAAUAAUUAUAAUGUAGAGUCUCACUUAGUGUUAGCCUUUCUUUUUCCCUAUUAUGUUCUCUAAGACACAAAUACGAUUUUGCUCCCCGCGCAACGCGAUAACGCCUUGUACAAAGACUAAGAUUUAUUAGUGUUGCGUUUUUAACUAUUAUUGACCUAGCGACUUGCUGAAUAAAUUGUAUUUAUAAA